UGACUGGUACAUAAUCCCCUUUCAUUUUCGUCAAAAUUUCAUUAUUUGCUGUUUUGACACCAACUGGUUGAAUGUGAAUUGCAGCACAAGUAUGAAAAUAUCUAAUCUGUACAGUGUACACUUUGAAUGUUGUCACUAAAAUGUGUUUAACAAUGAAAAAAACCGCAUUAUGGAAUUAACUUCCAUGGCCCGGAACCCCUACGAAUAUUAAUAAAGAUUGCAUAGAAAUUAUUAGUGAUACUGAUGACAGAUCACAAAUACAUCACCUUCGAGAGAACAUCAUCAUAUUUCGUCUUUGCAGCAGUUUUAGCCACAUCCACAUUCUUCCCCAUGUUACGAAAAUAUUACUGUAAAUCAUCAACAACAAUUCAGCAGCUCCAAUAAAGAAAACUAUAAUUCAUAAUUUACAGCAUUUCGUCUCUGAUUUCAUUUUAUUUUUUACUGAUCG